GCACUCGUAGCGCAGCUGGAUAGAGUACUCGGCUACGAACCGAGCGGUCACAGGUUCGAAUCCUGUCGAGUGCACCA
rnacentral:tRNA from 1 species